UGAUGAUGAUGACGAUGAUGAUGACGAUGAUGAUGACGAUGGAUGAUGAUAAAUAUCAUCAUCAUCAUCAUCAUCAUCAUCAUCAUCAUUAUCAUUA
rnacentral:pre_miRNA from 1 species